UAAGAGUAUAGUUUAAUGGUAAAACUCGUGUCUUCAACACACGCUAUGGUAGUUCGAUUCUGCUUGCUCUUGA
rnacentral:tRNA from 1 species